CAGCUACAAUAAUAUUGGCACCAUUGAUUGGGAAUUCGCUGAUGUCCUAUCCAAAAAGGUGGGUUCAGAUGAUCAACAUGGUGCUGCAGCCAGCUUGAAUGAUCAACUUUGAGUAGUGAAGCUACAAAUGACUGCACAACAAGAUUAAAUAUUAGUUAUAUUUUGGCUUGAUUAUAUAUAAUUUUAUGUUUGUGAUAAUAUUGUUUGUUUUUCUACUAGUUUUUUCGCUUACUUUAAUUUCCCUUGUUGUUGUGUUCAUAUAGCAAUUUUCUUGUGAAAACCCUUUACGUUUGUAUUAUUAAUUGUUUCAAUAUUAUUACGUAAUGCUUGUGAACAUAUGCAUAUAUGAAUAUGCUCAUAGUUUUUUUCUCUCUCUUUUGAACUCAUACAAAGAAAAUUAGGCUAAAGAUGAAGAGAUGAUGAAUCACAUUAAUUAAUCUUUCAUUUUAUGAUGUAUGAGUGAACUUUCUGCUCUUUGUUAGCAGUAUAUUGGUGGAUCAUAUACAUUAAUAUUUCGUUAUUGUUUCUCAAUUAUAAGACUCAAUUCGAAAAUUCCAUUUCUUCUAUAUUUUAUAUAGAUGCAUGUGUUUAGUUAUACUGCUUUCAUUUUACUUCUUUCAUCACAGUUUAUGUGUGCAGAUUGUUUCAUUGGCAAGGGUUUCUUUAGUUUCAAUCCGUUUUAAUUAUUUUCUUUUCAUCCUUGAUUUCUUAAUUUAUACUAGAUAUCGAGAAGUUGACGAAAACUCAGACAAAACUACAUGCAUGUACUUGCUUUAUUUUUUGUAAUUCAUUUAUGCAAUUAGCUUAGCUAUUAUUUUAGUGUAAUUUAAUUCACAAUCGGGCUAUUAUUAGUCUAAAUGUACCCAACUAAUGUUAAGAUAUGCGGAUAUACUGAAUCUUUUUCACUUCUUCUCUUCAUGUUUAUGUUAACAAUUUAACAUACAUAUAUGGCAAAAUUUAAUUCUCUCUUCAUUAUCAUCUUUAUUUAUGAUCGAUCUCUCUCUUUCUCAUAAUCUGCAGGUCUCAUCUUUAUAAGACAUUAUAUCUUUUGCAUGCUAUGUUUCCAUUUUACUUCUCAUAUAUAGUCAAAUAAUUAAUAUAGCAUAGAACAACACAAUUUGUAGCCUUAUAUUAACAAACAACUGAACAAUGAUUUUUACAAAAUUGACUAUAAAGUAAAUACCAAUUAAGUUUUAAUUAGGUUUGGUGUGUCCACACACACACACAUGUAUAACUAUUACUCACCACAUGAUAUUUAAUUCCUUGGAGAAGCUAUAAGAAUGGGAGAUGAUUGAUAAAACAUACAUGUGUGUGAGAGGUAAGUACAUAUUUGUAAGUUGGUGGAUGGCAUGCUCAUUUGACCAAUAUUGUACAUAUUUGUAAGUUGGUGGAUGGCAUGCCCAUUUGACCAAUACUGAUGGGAUGGGGUUGUGUAUAAUUUUGUCAUCUAAUAAUGUCCCAAACUCUUUUUGAUAAUCACCAAUGGCAACGUUACACUCCCUUUCACUAAUAUGAGCAGAGUUUAAAUCUUGAACUUCUUAUAUCACCCUUAAGAGAUGUUACCAAUACCUCCUGGAUCAUCCUUAAGAGAUAUUACUAAACAAACUAAUUAGCACCGAUAUAUGAAAGUAAUUUAUUAAAAGGGAGAUACAACAGAUGUGCACAAUAUUCACACAUAUGCAACUCACAUAAAAUUUAAGAUAAAUUAGAUAUGUAAUUAUGAUAGCAUAUAAUCGCGGUCUAAAUACAAAAUGAUUAAUAAUUUAAUUUAUAUGAUUUAAGAAAAUGGUUAACCUCUUCUGUAAGCAACGUACUCUUGGUAAAUUUUCCCAAACGCAAGGACCAAGAGAUAGAAACCAAGGCAAGCAAUAUAAUUUUUCUUGUAAAGCCAUUUUCAAAGUUAUGACACAUUUUUUUUUUUUUUUAAUGUAACUGUUUUCCCAUUUGGUAGAAGAAACCGAAGAAGAACAAAAUUAAAAGCACCGAAGCAGAAAAAUAAUUCACUGACCUGGAAAAAUGGAAAUGCAAAACCUGGCUGGCUAGCUGAAAUGCCCUUCAUUGUUGAAGAGUGUUUAAUCACUAACUGAAGAAACAAACAAUAGAGGUAG
rnacentral:lncRNA from 1 species